AUGUACCACUCAUACACCGCGGCUCUGAGCGCGCCGUCCACGCCCACCUGACGACUACUCGCUACGUUCUUGUUAGCC
rnacentral:sRNA from 2 species